AACAUCUCCUUAUCAAAAAGUGCAAAGGUAAGGAGAUACGUUCUGCGCAUGCGCAGCCCUAUCUCCUUAAAUACGCAUAAUUUGUUAAAAGGAUAUUAAGCAAAGUUGUAGCCCUCAUCAUGACGAACAACUUUUGUUAAGAUCUUCUUACCAAAAAGUGCAAAGGUAAGGAGAUACGUUCUGCGCAUGCGCAGCCCUAUCUCCUUAAAUACGCAUAAUUUGUUGAAAGGAUAUU
rnacentral:miRNA from 1 species